rnacentral:rRNA from 1 species
AACGUAGGACGCAAGCGUUAUCCGGAUUUACUGGGCGUAAAGCGCGGGCAGGCGGCCCGAUGCGUCUGAUGUGAAAUCUCCUCGCUCAACGGGGAGAGGCCAUUGGAAACGGACGGGCUGGAGGGCAGUAGAGGUAGGCGGAAUUCCGGGUGGAGUGGUGAAAUGCGUAGAGAUCCGGAGGAAUACCGGUGGCGAAGGCGGCAUCCUGGACCGACAUUGACGCUGAGGAGCGAAAGCUAGGGGAGCAAACGGG